CGCGGGGUGGAGCAGUCUGGUAGCUCGUCGGGCUCAUAACCCGAAGGUCGUAGGUUCAAAUCCUGUCCCCGCAA
rnacentral:tRNA from 1 species